rnacentral:rRNA from 1 species
CCUACGGGGGGCAGCAGUGGGGGAUAUUGCACAAUGGGGGGAACCCUGAUGCAGCGACGCCGCGUGGGUGAAGAAGCGCCUCGGCGCGUAAAGCCCUGUCAGCAGGGAAGAAAAUGACGGUACCUGAAGAAGAAGCCCCGGCUAACUACGUGCCAGCAGCCGCGGUAAUACGUAGGGGGCAAGCGUUCUCCGGAUUUACUGGGUGGAAAGGGGGCGCAGACGGGGAUGCAAGCCAGGAGUGAAAGGCCGGGGCCCAACCCGGGGACUGCCCUUGGGACUGCGUGGCUGGAGUGCAGGAGGGGCAGGCGGAAUUCCUGGUGUAGCGGUGAAAUGCGUAGAUAUCAGGAGGAACACCGGUGGCGAAGGCGGCCUGCUGGACUGCAACUGACGUUGAGGCCCGAAAGCGUGGGGAGCAAACAGGAUUAGAUACCCUAGUAGUC